rnacentral:rRNA from 1 species
UACGUAGGGUGCAAGCGUUGUCCGGAAUUAUUGGGCGUAAAGAGCUCGUAGGCGGUUUGUCGCGUCUGCUGUGAAAUCCCGAGGCUCAACCUUGGGCCUGCAGUGGGUACGGGCAGACUAGAGUGCGGUAGGGGAGAAUGGAACUCCUGGUGUAGCGGUGGAAUGCGCAGAUAUCAGGAAGAACACCGAUGGCGAAGGCAGUUCUCUGGGCCGUAACUGACGCUGAGGAGCGAAAGCGUGGGGAGCGAACAGG